rnacentral:rRNA from 1 species
GAUGAACGCUGGCGGCGUGCCUAAUACAUGCAAGUCGAGCGAACGGACGAGAAGCUUGCUUCUCUGAUGUUAGCGGCGGACGGGUGAGUAACACGUGGAUAACCUACCUAUAAGACUGGGAUAACUUCGGGAAACCGUAGCUAAUACCGGAUAAUAUUUUGAACCGCAUGGUUCAAAAGUGAAAGACGGUCUUGCUGUCACUUAUAGCUGGAUCCGCGCUGCAUUAGCUAGUUGGUAAGGUAACGGCUUACCAAGGCAACGAUGCAUAGCCGACCUGAGAGGGUGAUCGGCCACACUGGAACUGAGACACGGUCCAGACUCCUACGGGAGGCAGCAGUAGGGAAUCUUCCGCAAUGGGCGAAAGCCUGACGGAGCAACGCCGCGUGAGUGAUGAAGGUCUUCGGAUCGUAAAGCUCUGUUAUUAGGGAAGAACAUAUGUGUAAGUAACUGUGCACAUCUUGACGGUACCUAAUCAGAAAGCCACGGCUAACUACGUG